GAAACUGCUAAAGGAUGUCCUCAUCA
rnacentral:piRNA from 1 species